CACGUAGGGCGCAAGCGUUGUCCGGAAUUAUUGGGCGUAAAGAGCUCGUAGGCGGUCUGUUGCGUCCGCUGUGGAAACCCGGGGCUUAACCCCUGGCUUGCAGUGGAUACGGACAGACUGGAGGUAGGUAGGGGAGAAUGGAAUUCCCGGUGUAGCGGUGAAAUGCGCAGAUAUCAGGAGGAACACCAGUGGCGAAGGCGGUGCUCUGGGCCGGAACUGACGCUGAGGAGCGAAAGCGUGGGGAGCAAACAGG
rnacentral:rRNA from 1 species